CGUAGGGUGCGAGCGUUAAUCGGAAUUACUGGGCGUAAAGCGUGCGCAGGCGGUUUGUUAAGAUAGGCGUGAAAUCCCCGGGCUCAACCUGGGAACUGCGCUUAUGACUGGCAAGCUAGAGUACGGCAGAGGGGGUGGAAUUCCACGUGUAGCAGUGAAAUGCGUAGAGAUGUGGAGGAACACCAAUGGCGAAGGCAGCCCCCUGGGUCGAUACUGACGCUCAUGCACGAAAGCGUGGGUAGCAAACAGGAUUAGAUACCCUGGUAGUCCACGCCCUAAACGAUGUCAACUAGGUGUUGGAUGGGUAAAACCAUUUAGUACCGGAGCUAACGCGUGAAGUUGACCGGCCUGGGGAGUACGGCCGACAAGGUUA
rnacentral:rRNA from 1 species